CCAAAUAGACGUCUACAAUGCGU
rnacentral:siRNA from 1 species